rnacentral:rRNA from 1 species
GUGCCAGCCGCCGCGGUAAGACGGGGGGAGCAAGCGUUGUUCGGAUUUACUGGGCGUAAAGGGCGUCUAGGCGGACUAGUAAGUCAGGUGUGAAAUCCCCCGGCUCAACCGGGGAACUGCACUUGAAACUGCUAGUCUUGAGUUCGGAAGAGGAAAGCGGAAUUCCUGGUGUAGCGGUGAAAUGCGUAGAUAUCAGGAAGAACACCAGUGGCGAAGGCGGCUUUCUGGUCCGAUACUGACGUUGAAGCGCGAAAGUGUGGGGAGCAAACAGGAUUAGAUACCCUGGUAGUCCACACUGUAAACGAUGGAUGCUAGGUGUCGGAGGUAUCGACCCCUUCGGUGCCGAAGCUAACGCAUUAAGCAUCCCGCCUGGGGAGUACGGUCGCAAGGUUGAAACUUAAAUGAAUUGGCGGGG